AUGUUGAUGUUCCUCACGGCGUUCCCCAGGGGCUUCGCCAUUGAGGUGCUAGACGUGUACAAUGGCCCGCCGAGGGUUGCCUUCAAGUUCCGACACUGGGGUUACAUGGAGGGGCCGUUCAAGGGGCACCCUCCACACGGCCAGAGGGUCGAGUUCUUUGGGGUCUGCGUCUUCCAUAUAAGUUCCACAGUUGACGAGGACACGUGGGUGGAGAAGGCGGAGUACUUCUACGAGUGUGGCAACUUCCUCGUGAGCUUCUUCAGCACGCCUGCUUCUGCUGCUGUUGCAUCGGCUUUAGGUUGCCCUCUGAUGAGAGUAAACUAG
rnacentral:rRNA from 1 species